CAAAAGUCUGGUUUCCUUCCUAAUCCUCGCUGGAGCAUUCCCCGUGCUGCUGACCGAAGAGUUGUACUAUCUGCCCUGAGGACGCACACCCUAUAGCCUGGGAUGGACCUACCUGGCAAUGGCCUUGUAUAGACUAAUGGAGUCAGCCAAUCACAGAUGAGGACCCUGGAGCUCAGAAGGACAUGUGAUCAGCUGACCCAGCUCCUGGUCUCUAAUCCAGGGAUGGCAAAGGGCACCAUGAGUGGAGAACAUCUCCAGAUGAGGUCACCAGUGGCCCUCCUGACCCCCGGCAUCUGACUGUUUGAGCGAAG